AAAUCGGUCCUUUUCAGGACCACAAAAUAUUUUAAACAAAGAGAUUG
rfam:Drosophila virilis strain TSC#15010-1051.87 Ctg01_17149, whole genome shotgun sequence.